rnacentral:rRNA from 1 species
UACGUAGGGUGCGAGCGUUGUCCGGAAUUACUGGGCGUAAAGAGCUCGUAGGUGGUUUGUCGCGUUGUUCGUGAAAACUCACAGCUUAACUGUGGGCGUGCGGGCGAUACGGGCAGACUGGAGUACUGCAGGGGAGACUGGAAUUCCUGGUGUAGCGGUGGAAUGCGCAGAUAUCAGGAGGAACCCCGGUGGCGAGGGCGGGUCUCUGGGCAGUAACUGACGCUGAGGAGCGAAAGCGUGGGGAGCGAACAGG